GUGAAUCAUCGAAUCUUUGAACGCAAAUUGCGCUCUCCGCGGAGAGUAUGCCUGUGUGUGUGUGAGCCUAUAAAAAUCGACAUCGUUGCUGUUUCUCGGGGGCGUUCGUCGGAAAUUGGGUCAUCUUAAAUCCUUUUGAUUUAUGCGACUUAAAAUUUUUGUUUGGUUCCAUGAACGUUUCUAAGAUCUAUUUCUUUACACGUUUAGGGUAUCUAUUUUUACUAGACAUUACCUUCAUACCGGAU
rnacentral:misc_RNA from 1 species